GUGCUCACUUUGGCAGCAAAUAUACUGAAAUUGGAUGGAUACAGAGAAGAUUAGCAUGUCCCCUGGCAAGUAUAACAUGCAAAUUCUUGUAGUGUUCCAUAAUUUU
ensembl:snRNA U6 U6 spliceosomal RNA